UACGGAGGGUGCAAGCGUUGUUCGGAUUUACUGGGCGUAAAGCGCGCGCAGGCGGAUUAUCAAGUCAGAUGUGAAAUCUCGGGGCUCAACCCCGAAACUGCGUCUGAAACUGAUAGUCUAGAGUCUCAGAGGGGGCAGGGGAAUUUCACGUGUAGGGGUAAAAUCCGUAGAGAUGUGAAGGAACACCAGUGGCGAAGGCGCCUGCCUGGAUGAGUACUGACGCUGAGGCGCGAAAGCGUGGGGAGCGAAAGGG
rnacentral:rRNA from 1 species